rnacentral:rRNA from 1 species
GACAGAGGGGGCAAGCGUUGCUCGGAAUCACUGGGCGUAAAGCGUGCGCAGGCGGUUUGUAAGCCAGGUGUGAAAGCCCCGGGCUUAACCUGGGAAUGGCAUUUGGGACUGCAAGGCUUGAGUGCGGCAGAGGAGACUGGAAUUCCUGGUGUAGCAGUGAAAUGCGCAGAUAUCAGGAGGAACACCGGUGGCGAAGGCGGGUCUCUGGGCCGAUACUGACGCUGGAGGAGCGAAAGUGUGGGGAGCGAACAGG